rnacentral:rRNA from 1 species
GAGGCUUUGAAGUGUGGACGCCAGUCUGCAUGGAGCCGACCUUGAAAUACCACCCUUUAAUGUUUGAUGUUCUAACGUGGACCCGUGAUCCGGGUUGCGGACAGUGUCUGGUGGGUAGUUUGACUGGGGCGGUCUCCUCCUAAAGAGUAACGGAGGAGCACGAAGGUUGGCUAAUCCUGGUCGGACAUCAGGAGGUUAGUGCAAUGGCAUAAGCCAGCUUGACUGCGAGCGUGACGGCGCGAGCAGGUGCGAAAGCAGGUCAUAGUGAUCCGGUGGUUCUGAAUGGAAGGGCCAUCGCUCAACGGAUAAAAGGUACUCCGGGGAUAACAGGCUGAUACCGCCCAAGAGUUCAUAUCGACGGCGGUGUUUGGCACCUCGAUGUCGGCUCAUCACAUCCUGGGGCUGAAGUAGGUCCCAAGGGUAUGGCUGUUCGCCAUUUAAAGUGGUACGCGAGCUGGGUUUAGAACGUCGUGAGACAGUUCGGUCCCUAUCUGCCGUGGGCGCUGGAGAACUGAGGGGGGCUGCUCCUAGUACGAGAGGACCGGAGUGGACGCAUCACUGGUGUUCGGGUUGUCAUGCCAAUGGCACUGCCCGGUAGCUAAAUGCGGAAGAGAUAAGUGCUGAAAGCAUCUAAGCACGAAACUUGCC